rnacentral:rRNA from 1 species
AUUGAACGCUGGCGGAAUGCUUUACACACGCAAGUCGAACGGUAGAGGGGGCAACCCCUCGAGAGUGGCGAACGGGUGAGUAAUAUAUCGGAACGUGCCCAGUCGUGGGGGAUAACGUAGCGAAAGUUACGCUAAUACCGCAUACGAUCUAAGGAUGAAAGCGGGGGAUCGCAAGACCUCGCGCGAUUGGAGCGGCCGAUAUCAGAUUAGGUAGUUGGUGGGGUAAAGGCUCACCAAGCCAACGAUCUGUAGCUGGUCUGACAGGACGACCAGCCAAACUGGAACUGAGACACGGUCCAGACUCCUACGGGAGGCAGCAGUGGGGAAUUUUGGACAAUGGACGCAAGUCUGAUCCAGCCAUUCCGCGUGCAGGAUGAAGGCCCUCGGGUUGUAAACUGCUUUUGUACGGAACGAAAAGGUCUCUCUUAAUACGGGGGGCUCAUGACGGUACCGUAAGAAUAAGCACCGGCUAACUACGUGCCAGCAGCCGCCGUAACAC